rnacentral:lncRNA from 1 species
ACAAACUGAUACAAAUACAAAUGGCGCCGCAUAUAUACGGAACACCGCACCCAUAAUCACCCAAAUAAUGAGGCCGGAGUAUACAAACGGACAAAAACCAAGACGCAUACCCAAGCCUCAUAAUCAGAAGGAUAAACCACCCACAAAAAACAACCCAGCCGACCCACCUAAGCAAGAAAAAAAGGCUAAAGCAAGAAAUACCAACCCCACCACAUAAAAGACCUCCCUGUACCAAAUUAACACCAAAAUAAGAGGAGCCCCUAACUGAUAUCGCAAGGCAGCAAAGGCAAACAGCUGCAAUACCAUUAUCUAUCAAGGCAAAACCUUGGAUUCCAAAUUCACU